rnacentral:piRNA from 1 species
AUCCUACUCCUUGAGCUUCCUGUGGUCUGUGU